GUUUAUUCCCUAGCAGCCCAGCAGCUGUCGGAGCAUAUCUCAGUGUCAAGGCAAGGAUACUGCGGCUAUUGUUAGCGCAUUAAGGUAGUCGAAACCGCUCUGUCAAUCUAUUAGUGCUAUCAACAUGUGCUCCGUCGGACGCAGCGCAAAUUUCUAGUAGACACUUGAUCAAAACCAAGAUUUCUUCUGAGUGGUGCAAAGAAGUGAACGUUUUAGUUUUUUAGUUCAUUUUUUCAAUAAAUGUAUAAUAACGUUACGAUUACAUUUUGAGAGCAUUCUCAUUUUGUACCAUGCUGUGGAAGAUGACUCUUGUGAUUUUUUAAACUGUAAACAAACUUUAAUGUGACUUCUAGCACGGAAUAAACAUACCAGUAGUGCUUCUCUACUCUGUGCUUUUAGUGUUAUGAUUUAAUCAUUUUUACUACUUUAUAUUUAUUGAAAGGCUGGGUGAAAAGAUGGGUAAAGACAAGGAAGACGAUGCUACGAGCGAGGAAUCAGUGACAAUACCAACUGUGAAAAAAGAGCCGAGACGACGUUCAGUGCAUCCUGACCACCACAGAAUCAAACAGACUCUCAUCAGGCAGGCGUUUUACCUGGUCGAUGAGAAGUACAUGAAGCAAAGGCCAAAGCAGUUCUAUAUAAAAUCUCUAACCGGUGAUAUAUACCUUAUCAAGUAUGAAAGGUUUCUCUUCUGACCAUUCCUCCAUUUUUAAACUGACCAAAAUUAUUAUUUUCCUAAG